GGAGGCUGAUUUAGGCAGGCAGAGU
rnacentral:piRNA from 1 species